rnacentral:snoRNA from 1 species
UUGUCAGGGCCCGUGAUGUGAGAAAAAUAUUUGCUACUCUUGAUGGGACAAGAGUUCCAUCUGAUGAUCAUAACCACCAAGAUCUCUGAAGCCUUAAUAA